CAAAGUGCUGGGAUUAUAGGCGUGAGCCACUGUGCCCAGCCCAGUUGUAUUCUUUAUGAUGGUCAAAAUUUCCAAGCUUUGUGCAGUGGUAGUAUCAUAGCCAGUGAGGUUUAUCUGAGGCAUGAUUAUCGACAAUUGAAACAAAAUGUCCUCUUUUGCAAGUAAAAACUCCAGGCACCAAAGUGUUUGCUCGCUCUGCCAUGUGAGGACCCAGCCAGAAGUUCUGCAAGCCAGGAAGGGAACCCUCAUGAGACCUCAACCAUGCUCAGAUCUCCAAACUGAGAAAAUACAUCAGCUACCCAGUCUAUAAUAUUUUGUUACGGCAGCCCAUGCUAAGAUAUAUUUGCAGGUCGUUUUUGCUAGAUAUAUAAUCAUUGCCUCAUAUUUCCUUUCCUUGAGGAUGUUAAAUGUUACUUUUUUGUCUGUUGGCAUGAAGUGUUUUUCCAGAAGUCUGAUACCAAUCUUAUUUUCUUAAUUUUAUAACAGUUUUAGUCUGGAUGCCCAAUUUCUGGUGACUUUGCAGAAUGUGUUGGCGCUGAUUGCUCUGGACUGACCAUACCAGGAAACCACUCAUCUGCUUUCUGACUAUGGAUGUAAUAGACAGAACUCUGGAUAUCUUGGACCAAGAGGUAACCUAGUGCAUGGGAAGGAUGCGCUGAGGAUGCUGGAGCACUAAGAGAAAGUGCGAGCAUCCUUGAAGACUCUGUGGAGCUGUCAGACAAGCUCUGCAAGGCUGACUUCUGAACUCUCACAGAAGUCAAUGAUAUUUAGGGUUUUUGUUAUAUAUAGCUAUACUUAAUCCUUACCGAUACAACUUCUCUAUCAGGUGCUCCUAUACCUAAUCGAUGAGCAAUCCUAUUGAUUGACUCUAAUAGGCCCAUUCUCUCUCAAUCCAGCUAAUGCCUUUCUGUUCAGUUCUAUAUUGUAAACCUAUGCCUAGAUUAUGGCACAGGUAUUCCUAAACUGGUGUCCUGCCUAUAGUCUUGCCAUCUCUGAUCUACCUUCUAUGAUGGGUGAUCUUUGUGAAAUGUAAAUUUAAUGAUUCCAUUAAAUUUGAAAAUCUCUUCCUCAUUGUA
rnacentral:lncRNA from 1 species